rnacentral:misc_RNA from 1 species
GAAAUGCGAUAAGUAGUGUGAAUUGCAGAACUCAGUGAAUCAUCGAAUCUUUGAACGCACAUUGCGCCCCUCGGUAUUCCGUGGGGCAUGCCUGUUCGAGCGUCAUCUACACCCUCAAGCUCUGCUUGGUGUUGGGCGUCUGUCCCGCCUCCUUCGCGCGCGGACUCGCCCCAAAUCCAUUGGCGGCGGCCCUUGCCUCCCUCUCGCGCAGCACAUUGCGCUUCUCGAGGCGCGGCGGACCGCGUCCAGCAAGCAACCGUCACACCGUCUUUGACCUCGGAUCAGGUAGGGAUACCCGCCGAACUUAAGC